rnacentral:rRNA from 1 species
AGCGAACGCUGGCGGCAGGCUUAACACAUGCAAGUCGAACGCCCCGCAAGGGGAGUGGCAGACGGGUGAGUAACACGUGGGAACGUACCUUUUGGUUCGGAAUAACUUGGGGAAACUCAAGCUAAUACCGGAUAAGCCCUUAUGGGGAAAGGUUUACUGCCGAAGGAUCGGCCCGCGUCUGAUUAGCUAGUUGGUGAGGUAAUGGCUCACCAAGGCGACGAUCAGUAGCUGGUCUGAGAGGAUGAUCAGCCACACUGGGACUGAGACACGGCCCAGACUCCUACGGGAGGCAGCAGUGGGGAAUAUUGGACAAUGGGGGCAACCCUGAUCCAGCCAAGCCGCGUGAGUGAUGAAGGCCUUAGGGUUGUAAAGCUCUUUUACCCGGGACGAUAAUGACUGUACCGGGAGAAUAAGCCCCGGCUAACUUCGUGCCAGCAGCCGCCGUAA